rnacentral:rRNA from 1 species
GAUGAACGCUGGCGGCGUGCCUAAUACAUGCAAGUCGAGCGAACAGAUGAGGCGCUUGCUCCUCUGACGUUAGCGGCGGACGGGUGAGUAACACGUGGAUAACCUCCCUAUAAGACUGGGAUAACUUCGGGAAACCGGAGCUAAUACCGGAUAAUCUAUUGAACCGCAUGGUUCAAUAGUGAAAUACGGUCUUUCUGUCACUUAUAGAUGGAUCCGCGCCGCAUUAGCUAGUUGGUAAGGUAACGGCUUACCAAGGCAACGAGGCGUAGCCGACCUCAGAGAGUGGUCGGCGACACUGGAACUGAGACACCGUCAUGAGUCCUACGGGAGGCAGCAGUAGGGAAUCUGCCGCAAUGGGCGAAAGCCUGACGGAGCAACGGCGCGUGAGUGAUGAAGGUCUUCGGAUCGUAAAACUCUGUUAUUAGGGAAGAACAAAUGUGUAAGGAAAUAUGCACGUCUUGACGGUAACGAAUCAGAAAGCCCCGGCUAACUACGUG